GGAAGGAUCAUUACCGAGUUUUGGGUCUCUUCACCGAGCCC
rnacentral:rRNA from 3 species